ACCCAUGCAGUCGAGCGGUAACAGAGAGUAGCUUGCUACUUUGCUGACGAGCGGCGGACGGGUGAGUAAUGCUUGGGAACAUGCCUUGAGGUGGGGGACAACAGUUGGAAACGACUGCUAAUACCGCAUAAUGUCUACGGACCAAAGGGGGCUUCGGCUCUCGCCUUUAGAUUGGCCCAAGUGGGAUUAGCUAGUUGGUGAGGUAAUGGCUCACCAAGGCGACGAUCCCUAGCUGGUUUGAGAGGAUGAUCAGCCACACUGGGACUGAGACACGGCCCAGACUCCUACGGGAGGCAGCAGUGGGGAAUAUUGCACAAUGGGCGCAAGCCUGAUGCAGCCAUGCCGCGUGUGUGAAGAAGGCCUUCGGGUUGUAAAGCACUUUCAGUCAGGAGGAAAGGUUAGUAGUUAAUACCUGCUAGCUGUGACGUUACUGACAGAAGAAGCACCGGCUAACUCCGUGCCAGCAGCCGCGGUAAUACGGAGGGUGCGAGCGUUAAUCGGAAUUACUGGGCGUAAAGCGUACGCAGGCGGUUUGUUAAGCGAGAUGUGAAAGCCCCGGGCUCAACCUGGGAACUGCAUUUCGAACUGGCAAACUAGAGUGUGAUAGAGGGUGGUAGAAUUUCAGGUGUAGCGGUGAAAUGCGUAGAGAUCUGAAGGAAUACCGAUGGCGAAGGCAGCCACCUGGGUCAACACUGACGCUCAUGUACGAAAGCGUGGGGAGCAAA
rnacentral:rRNA from 1 species